rnacentral:rRNA from 1 species
AUUGAACGCUAGCGGGAUGCCUUACACAUGCAAGUCGAACGGCAGCACGGACUUCGGUCUGGUGGCGAGUGGCGAACGGGUGAGUAAUGUAUCGGAACGUGCCUAGUAGCGGGGGAUAACUACGCGAAAGCGUAGCUAAUACCGCAUACGCCCUACGGGGGAAAGCAGGGGAUCGCAAGACCUUGCACUAUUACAGCGGCCGAUAUCGGAUUAGCUAGUUGGUGGGGUAACGGCUCACCAAGGCGACGAACCGUAGCUGGUUUGAGAGGACGACCAGCCACACUGGGACUGAGACACGGCCCAGACUCCUACGGGAGGCAGCAGUGGGGAAUUUUGGACAAUGGGGGAAACCCUGAUCCAGCCAUCCCGCGUGUGCGAUGAAGGCCUUCGGGUUGUAAAGCACUUUUGGCAGGAAAGAAACGUCAUGGGCUAAUACCCCGUGAAACUGACGGUACCUGCAGAAUAAGCACCGGCUAACUACGUGCCAGCCGCCGCGGUAAAAC